rnacentral:rRNA from 1 species
AGCGAACGCUGGCGGCAGGCUUAACACAUGCAAGUCGAACGGGCGUAGCAAUACGUCAGUGGCAGACGGGUGAGUAACGCGUGGGAACGUACCUUUUGGUUCGGAACAACCCAGGGAAACUUGGGCUAAUACCGGAUAAGCCCUUACGGGGAAAGAUUUAUCGCCGAAAGAUCGGCCCGCGUCUGAUUAGCUAGUUGGUGUGGUAACGGCGCACCAAGGCGACGAUCAGUAGCUGGUCUGAGAGGAUGAUCAGCCACAUUGGGACUGAGACACGGCCCAAACUCCUACGGGAGGCAGCAGUGGGGAAUAUUGGACAAUGGGCGGCAAGCCUGAUCCAGCCAUGCCGCGUGAGUGAUGAAGGCCCUAGGGUUGUAAAGCUCUUUUGUGCGGGAAGAUAAUGACGGUACCGCAAGAAUAAGCCCCGGCUAACUUCGUGCCA